rnacentral:rRNA from 1 species
GCGCAGCAGGCGAGAAUCCUCCGCAAUGCGGGAAACCGUGACGGGGUCACCCCGAGUGCCUCCCGAUAAGGGAGGCUUUUCCCCGCUGUAAACAGGCGGGAGAAUAAGCGGGGGGCAAGUCUGGUGUCAGCCGCCGCGGUAAUACCAGCCCCGCGAGUGGUCGGGACGGUUAUUGGGCCUAAAGCGCCCGUAGCCGGCCCGGCAAGUCCCCGCGUAAAGCCCCGGGCUUAACCCGGGGAAUUGCGGGGAUACUACCGGGCUAGGGGGCGGGAGAGGCCGAGGGUACUCCCGGGGUAGGGGCGAAAUCCUGUAAUCCCGGGGAGGACCACCAGUGGCGAAGGCGCUCGGCUGGAACGCGCCCGACGGUGAGGGGCGAAAGCCGGGGGAGCAAACCGGAUUAGAUACCCGGGUAGU